GUAACAAGGUUUCCGUAGGUGAACCUGCGGAAGGAUCAUUAUCAAAACAGCGGACUUCGGUCCUUGCUGCACCCUUGUCUUUUGCGUACCGUAUGUUUCCUCGGCGGGCUUGCCUGCCGGUUGGACAUUAUCAAACCUUUUUGUAGUUGCAAUCAGCGUCAGAAAAUAAACAAUAAUUACAACUUUCAACAACGGAUCUCUUGGUUCUGGCAUCGAUGAAGAACGCAGCGAAAUGCGAAAAGUAGUGUGAAUUGCAGAAUUCAGUGAAUCAUCGAAUCUUUGAACGCACAUUGCGCCCCUUGGUAUUCCAUGGGGCAUGCCUGUUCGAGCGUCAUUUUGUACCCUCAAGCACUGCUUGGUGUUGGGCGUUUGUCCUGCAAAGGACUCGCCUGAAAGCGAUUGGCGGCCAACGUACUGGUGGUAGAGCGCAGCACAAUUUGCGUCUCUCCCUUCUACGUCGGCGUCCAUGAAGCCUUUUUUCAACGUUUGACCUCGGAUCAGGUAGGGAUACCCGCUGAACUUAAGCAUAUCA
rnacentral:rRNA from 1 species